GUGCAUUCUGUUUUUAGGUAUGUAGAGAGGGAUCUCUUAAAGGACUUUAGGCUUAGGGAAGAUUUUAAAUUGAGCGGGAGGUCGUUCCACAAUUGUAGGAGAAGGAGGAUCGGGCCAUUUUCUUUUUGUAUUGAGGUAGACUAAGUAGACUAGGUAGACCAAAGUAGUGUCACUUCUUUAAUGGAUAGGCACUACUCUCGCAGUCUUCCAAAGUUUGGGUAUGUAUC